UACGUAGGGUGCGAGCGUUAAUCGGAAUUACUGGGCGUAAAGUGUGCGCAGGCGGCUUGGCAAGUCGAGUGUGAAAUCCCCGGGCUUAACUUGGGAAUUGCGCUUGAAACUACCUGGCUUGAGUGUGGCAGAGGAAGGUGGAAUUCCACGUGUAGCGGUGAAAUGCGUAGAGAUGUGGAGGAACACCGAUGGCGAAGGCAGCCUUCUGGGCCAACACUGACGCUCAUGCACGAAAGCGUGGGGAGCAAACAGG
rnacentral:rRNA from 1 species